UACAGAGGGUGCAAGCGUUGUUCGGAAUUAUUGGGCGUAAAGGGCGCGUAGGCGGUGCGGUAAGUCUGUAGUGAAAUCUCUGGGCUCAACUCAGAGUCUGCUGCAGAAACUGCCGUGCUUGAGUGUGGGAGAGGUGAGUGGAAUUCUCGGUGUAGCGGUGAAAUGCGUAGAUAUCGAGAGGAACACCUGCGGCGAAGGCGGGUUGCUGGGCUGACACUGACGCUGACAGCGCGAAAGCUAGGGGAGCGAACGGG
rnacentral:rRNA from 1 species